CCUCUGCGUGCCACUGCCUCCACACCUUCUUCACUGUGGUCACACCUCUAGUGCCCUAGCAGUGAUCUGGGAGUGCUUGACCUUGCUUGGACCAGUCGGUGGAGAUUUCUUUUCCCUGUGUUGCUGCUGUGCCCUAGUGCACCAUUACCGGUGCCACUCUCUUCUUUACAGCAGAGUGGUGAUUUUAGAGUGAAGUGUCCGACUUGUAAAGUGUGCUUUAGUUUGUUCAAGACUUCCAGCAGCAACCCCAUCCAGUAGCCCUUGCUUCAGCAGCAACAGCAACGGUGGUUGAGGAUUUUGACACGAGACGAGUAUCUCGGAGUCGGAUUGGACUUUUCUUAUCGGAGGCGGG